GUGGUUACAGCAGGCACACCUUGCAGAACCUACCAAGGAGAGCCUCUAGACCCACCGCAUAUCAACCACCUGGGCACCCGAUACGGGCCAGCAGCUAUCGACCUGCUGAGCACUGUAACUGAAGCAUCGGGGAACACUC
rnacentral:snoRNA from 1 species